rnacentral:rRNA from 1 species
GACGAACGCUGGCGGCGUGCCUAAUACAUGCAAGUUGAGCGCUGAAGGUUGGUACUUGUACCAACUGGAUGAGCAGCGAACGGGUGAGUAACGCGUGGGGAAUCUGCCUUUGAGCGGGGGACAACAUUUGGAAACGAAUGCUAAUACCGCAUAAAAACUUUAAACACAAGUUUUAAGUUUGAAAGAUGCAAUUGCAUCACUCAAAGAUGAUCCCGCGUUGUAUUAGCUAGUUGGUGAGGUAAAGGCUCACCAAGGCGAUGAUACAUAGCCGACCUGAGAGGGUGAUCGGCCACAUUGGGACUGAGUCACGGCCCAAACUCCUACGGGAGGCAGCAGUAGGGAAUCUUCGGCAAUGGACGAAAGUCUGACCGAGCAACGCCGCGUGAGUGAAGAAGGUUUUCGGAUCGUAAAACUCUGUUGGUAGAGAAGAACGUUGGUGAGAGUGGAAAGCUCAUCAAGUGACGGUAACUACCCAGAAAGGGACGGCUAACUACGUG